rnacentral:snoRNA from 2 species
GGUUGAUGAUGACAAAUCCAAAGGCUUGUUUCUCAAAACAUUCGCAGUGGCCGCCUAAGAGCUUUCGCCUUCGCCAGGCUUGAGAGCUUGUGCUGCUUCAUUCCUUCCUUGGAUGUCUGAAACU